UCUCCUUUCACAAGUGGCCUGUGAGGGAGUCUUCUCAGCUUUCCUCUACGUUUUGGUGUGGCUCGCUCUGUUUUGAGCCAGAUGCACAACAAAUAAUACAAAGCUUUGUAAGAGCCUGGAAAUUAUAGAGUUGAGGACACAGGAACAGUGUCUCACUGAAGAUGAAAUAUGACUGAAGGGUCUUCUAUUGCUCCAGCUUCCAGAAGUGCUAAUUGACAGUCCUCAGGUGUCAGCCCUCCCCAGAAAUUGUCCCUGGCUAAAGAGUCACCUUGCCCAUGGUCAGAGCUGCUUCCAAGAGACUCCCUAAUUAGCUCAGGCUCUGGCCCAGAGGACUGCAUGGCUGUAUUUAACCACCUGGGAAGUGGCUCUGGAAAGAUGCUGGCUCAGCGUAAGCAACUGGGUUGUAUCCUGGCUGCCUUUUGGGUGAGAGUUUUAUUUUUAACUCGCCUCUCUUUCAGAUGAUUGCUGAAGUCUGAUUGUAGUGAGGAGAGCUCCCUUUCAUUUUUAGACAUUUUUCCCCCUAUUUAGUGGAGUUCAUAACUCUUUUCUUGUAUUUUGCCACUAGGAGAAGGGAAUAAAAUGUUAGACUUA